rnacentral:lncRNA from 1 species
GGGUCCCCACGCUGGGCUGGAAGCCCCUACCUGAGACAGCUGGCCCAUCGUAAUGGGGGUGGUGGUGGGGAUGGGAGCCCCACUCCUCCCCACCCCUCCCCAGCUCUCCGAUGCGCGGGUUUCCAAGCCCCUCCCUCCGCCCGGCUGUGGGUUCGCGCUCGCCGGCGGUUCCCACACUGCGCGGGCGGGCGGCGAGGGAAGCGUGCCUGGGCCCCCCCGCGGCAUUAGUGCCGGGGUCUGAGUCUGAAUGAAUGAGGGCGGCGGCGGGGGGCGCGGGGGGGCAACUCCCAAAAGACCAUCUGGCUCCGCGUUAUAAUAGAGCAAUAAAGGGCUUGUCUGCCUUUCAGAGGUUGGGGAGGCCCGGAAAGCUGGGCAGGGGGAGCCUGAGGUUGCGCCCAUGCCCUCUGGGGUGUGGACUCCAGUCCCUUGGUGAAGGUGGGGCCUGGAAUGGUGCACAAAGCUGGGGCCUCAAGCCUGGCCUGGGACUUGGGAAGGCUGCAGUCUGUGGGGGGUGC